CACAUGCUUUGCUAUCUGCCUCAAACCAAAAGAAAAUUUAAAGAAACAACCAUGGAAAAAGGAAAAAAAACAAAGGAAUUAUGCUUGACAUGAAAAAUAUCUGGAAAGUAUAUAACUGAAUUACAAUGGUUCCAACUCCACCUGCACCUCCUAAAACAAGAAGAGAUUUACCAGCAGAGAAGCCAGCUUUUUCAAGGCCUUCAUAGGCAGUCACAAUCACCAGGGGUAGGCUAGCAGCUUCAGCAAAACUCAAAUUUUUGGGCUUAGGACCCAGUAGUUUCUGUUCAACAGCAGUGUACUCAGCAAAGGAGCCAUAUUGUUUUGGGUGGUCCAAAGCAUUCUCAUUAAUAUCUCCAUAUGCUUCAUCUCCUACCUUUAAAUUCUUCACUUGGCUUCCCACUUUCACCACCACACCAGUAACAUCAUACCCUGGAAUAGUCUACAGAAG
rnacentral:misc_RNA from 1 species